rnacentral:rRNA from 1 species
CCUACGGGGGGCUGCAGUGGGGAAUAUUGGUCAAUGGGCUUACGCCUGAACCAGCCAAGUCGCGUGAGGGAAGACUGCCCUAUGGGUUGUAAACCUCUUUUGUCAGGGAGAAACGCCGGCUACGUGUAGCCGGACUGAGAGUACCUAAAGAACAAGCAUCCGCUAACUCCGUGCCAGCAGCCGCAGUAGUACGGAGGAGGAGAGCGUGAUCCGGAUUGAUUGGGUUAAAGGGGUGCGUAGGCGGAAUGCCAAGUAAGCGGUAAAAUCGCGGGGCUCAACCGAGCUCCGCCGUUGAAACUGGCGUUCUUGAGUGGGGGAGAGGGAUGCGGAAUUCGCGGUGUAGCGGUGAAAUGCAUAGAUAUCACGAAGAACUCCGAUGGCGAAGGCAGCAUACUGG